rnacentral:lncRNA from 1 species
AGGGAGGACCAGCUGAGCUGGGUAAUCAAAGCUCUUCUAAUCGCCGCAGCUCUGGAGAUGUGUUCAAAGGCUCUUUCCUGACCACAGGCUGAGCAAGUCCAGCCUUGCAUGGAGAGGAGGAUAUCUCUGAAGGAAGACAGAAAAAGCAGGAGGAAUGCAAGGACCAAGCUGGAAUUACCCUAGCCCAGAGGCAAAACAUGAAAAUGAAGGUGGACAUACUGAAAUGGUCAGAAACCCACGCCAGAAGUCAGUGCGACGUGGAUGUGCACGGGGCUUCCUAGCCCAUGUUAUGAACAGCCUGCUGCAUGGCCGUCGAAGGAAAUGCUACAGAGUUGAGUCCAGAGAAACAGAGACACAUCAGAAGGAAGUCAUGUUUACAGCUGCACAUGCCUCUCUGCCUGCUGUGAGCUCCUCUGAAUGAUUUCCAGUGUGUGCACUCAUCUCCCAGUGGAAGUCCCCACGGUGGAUAGGAGACAUUUGUAAUGAUUUUCUGAGCUGGAGAGG